rnacentral:rRNA from 1 species
ACUCCUGCGGGAGGCAGCAGUGGGGAAUUUUGGACAAUGGGCGAAAGCCUGAUCCAGCCAUGCCGCGUGCAGGAUGAAGGCCUUCGGGUUGUAAACUGCUUUUGUACGGAACGAAACGGCCUUUUCUAAUAAAGAGGGCUAAUGACGGUACCGUAAGAAUAAGCACCGGCUAACUACGUGCCAGCAGCCGCGGUAAUACGUAGGGUGCAAGCGUUAAUCGGAAUUACUGGGCGUAAAGCGUGCGCAGGCGGUUAUGUAAGACAGUUGUGAUGUCCCCGGGCUCAACCUGGGAACUGCAUCUGUGACUGCAUAGCUAGAGUACGGUAGAGGGGGAUGGAAUUCCGCGUGUAGCAGUGAAAUGCGUAGAUAUGCGGAGGAACACCGAUGGCGAAGGCAAUCCCCUGGACCUGUACUGACGCUCAUGCACGAAAGCGUGGGGAGCAAACAGGAGUAGAAACCCCGGUAGUCCCAU